rnacentral:lncRNA from 1 species
UAAAAGAAAAAGUCAAUGCUCAAAUAUAAUUUGUUGAACUAAAAAUCGGUAACAAGUACAAACAUAGCAAGUACUAAAAGAUUCUCAUGUACACAAACUUGAAAUACUCUCUUAUGCAAAAACUAAAAGAUUCUCAUCCCUAACAAGUUAAAAGAACUAAUAGUAGCUUCCAAACUUUCUAAUGAAAUGAGAGCCUUCAGUCAUAACCACAAAGUCCCCACCUGUGCACAAAGUUUGUGGGGAUCAUUAGAUCAUCAUACUAACAAGAGCUUCCCAGAAAAGCCACAAUAUAUUUGCUAAAGAUCAAAUUAAAUUGCCAUGAUUCCAGAGACGAAGCCAUUCAUGAUGAGACCUAAGAGCCACAAUGUAAAGACAUGAACCCUUUUUCCACUAUGGUUUAGGCCACGAGCCAUGUCAUUUUGUUUGAUUCAAAGUUAGGAACCAUUCUAAGGAUUUAAAUUUGUUCAAAUUUUUUGUAUUCCACGAAAUAAUCACUUCCAGGGGGAAAUUUUGCAACCCACUCACACUUAAGAUCAAUCUGCUAUCAAUGACAAACUAAACCUUGUAUCCACUCAGUAACAUAAAGUCAACUGCUAACAAAACUAGUUACAUGCAUUUCAUAUCGGCAAUUACAGGAUAGAUAAAUGCGUAAAGUUAAAAGCUUUCAGAAUAAGUAUUAGCAACUCAAUGCCCAUAAAGCCAAUACAUAAAUGUGCAGUAGUAGCUGAUCAUGAAGCUUUAGUUGCAUUUACUUCUUAAAUAUUAGCUAGAGAAAAUAUCAUAAUGUUUCCCACCUGGAAGCUUUAAUUUCAUCUAUUAAUUACCACCUCAUACUUGCCAACAACCAUAAUCACACCACUCAUCCUCUUAUACCAACCACAAAGUCCAAUAAACCCAAUCUCAUGCCCCCUGACCCUCCUCUCCCCCACCCUCCCCCCCCCCAAAAAAAAGAAAACCAAAAAAAGAAAGAAUAGAACAAGAAAUGGUUCUUGGAACAUUUACAAUUUUCACAACACUUUCACAACAAAUACAUGGAAAGCACUAAUGAACAUCAUUUGUAGGCCUAAUUGAAUCAAACAAAACUGACCACUAGUCCUCAAUUUACUAUACAACCACUAACCACCGACAUGAUUACUACCAAAAAUGCAGCUGCAAAGUAGAAGCAAGCUCUUUAAUUCAUAAAACAGAGUACAAAAUCAACUCAUUUUAGUACUCAACUUCCAUCCUUAAAAUCCAGAAAAGGCCAUGCAACAUCCUUAAUCUUCCUCACAAAGACUAAAGACCGUUCUUUGAUCAGCUUAUACCAAAAACCCACAAAAUUAAAACACAUAUUUUUCAGUUUCAAGAAAAAUCACGAGCCAAGAUUUACCUUUAGAGAAGACUUAAAGCAGCCCUUCCGGUACACAGACUGGAAAAUUUAAUGAUGUAUUGCUAUCCUAUCCUUGACCAGGGCCUUUUAAAUACUUAAUGUAAUUACCUAGUAGAUCAAGAAUUUAGUUUCUUUUUGGUGUUAAUGUUUUGCACAUGAAUCAGGAGUUUGUUUUAUCUUUUCUUAGCUUCCCCGUGAAUCAGGGAAUGUAUAAAAUGGAAACAUAAGAGAGAUCACUCAAUACAAAACCUAUACUAGGUUGUUUUCGUAUUUAUGGUGAAACCAUAUAUUACCUAAUAACUUUUCAGUACAUCAAAUUGCAAUCAUUGACAGCAAAAUGUGCAUUGCAUCCGUUGCUUUCGCAAAAAAUUUGAACUAUACUAAAAGGAAUGUCUUAAAGUUUUUACCUCCAAAGGAGGGAAGUUCUGCAUUAAUGCUCAAAAGAAGCCGUGCUUUUGUUCCUGUGCAGGGUCUCCGUUUCCUUUCUUUAAGGUAAAAUUGUUUGGAGAGGCAUUCAUU